GAAACUCGAAUCUUUUGAAGUUUCAGUGAAUUCCUUCACUGGAAACUUGCCUGAGCAUUUGUGUGCUGGAGGAACUCUUUUUGGUGCUGUAGCUUAUGCUAACAAUUUAUCUGGUGAAAUACCAAAAUCACUCGAAAAUUGUUCUACUUUACGUUCGAUUCAGCUCUACAAGAAUCAGUUUUCGGGUGAAAUUCCAUCUGGGGUUUGGACUUUGGUUGACAUGACAAGUUUGUUGUUGAGUGAUAACUCAUUUUCCGGGGAGCUACCGAGCAAAAUUGCAUUAAACUUUACGCGGUUAGAGAUCAGUAACAACAAGUUUACUGGUGAAAUUCCUGUGGGGAUAUCUUCUUGGAGGAGUUUGAUGGUGCUUUUGGCAAGUAACAAUUCAUUUUCAGGCCUGAUUCCAGUGGAAUUGACUAGCCUUUCUCAG
rnacentral:misc_RNA from 1 species